rnacentral:rRNA from 1 species
CCUACGGGAGGCAGCAGUGAGGAAUAUUGGUCAAUGGACGAGAGUCUGAACCAGCCAAGUAGCGUGAAGGAUGACUGCCCUAUGGGUUGUAAACUUCUUUUAUAUGGGAAUAAAACAGGGUAUGCAUACCCUCUUGUAUGUACCAUAUGAAUAAGGAUCGGCUAACUCCGUGCCAGCAGACGCGGUAAUACGGAGGAUCCGAGCGUUAUCCGGAUUUAUUGGGGUUAAAGGGAGCGUAGGUGGAUUGUUAAGUCAGUUGUGAAAGUUUGCGGCUCAACCGUAAAAUUGCAGUUGAAACUGGCAGGCUUGAGUACAGUAGAGGUGGGCGGAAUUCGUGGUGUAGCGGUGAAAUGCUUAGAUAUCACGAAGAACUCCGAUUGCGAAGGCAGCUCACUGGACUGCAACUGACACUGAUGCUCGAAAGUGUGGGUAUCAAACAGGAUUAGAUACCCCAGUAGUC